UACGUAGGUGGCAAGCGUUGUCCGGAUUUAUUGGGUUUAAAGGGUGCGUAGGCGGUCUAUUAAGUCAGUGCUGAAAUAUCCCGGCUUAACCGGGAGGGUGGCAUUGAUACUGAUGGACUUGAGUAAAGUUGAGGUUGGCGGAAUUGACGGUGUAGCGGUGAAAUGCUUAGAUAUCGUCAAGAACACCUAUUGCGAAGGCAGCUAACUAAGCUUAAACUGACGCUGAGGCACGAAGGUGUGGGGAUCAAACAGG
rnacentral:rRNA from 1 species